AUUUGAUCUUGGUUCAGAUUGAAUGCUGACAGCGUGGAUGAGGCAUGCAAGUCGAACGCAACUAUAGGGCAACUUAUAGUUGAGUGGCGGAAGGGUUAGUAAUACAUGAAUAACUUGCCUCUAACCUGGGGAUAACGGCUGGAAACGGCCGCUAAUACCGAAUGUAGUUUUUGGAGGAUACUCCAGGCAAUUAAAGUAGGGGAUCGGGUAACCGACCUUGCGGUUAGAGAGAGGUUCAUGGGAUAUCAGCUAGUUGGUGUGGUAAUGGCGCACCAAGGCUAAGACGUCUAGGCGGAUUGAGAGAUUGACCGCCAACAUUGGGACUGAGAUACUGCCCAGACUCCUACGGGAGGCUGCAGUCGAGGAUCUUUCGCAAUGGGCGCAAGCCUGACGGAGCGACGCUGUGUGAGUGAUGAAGGCCU
rnacentral:rRNA from 1 species